rnacentral:rRNA from 1 species
AACGCUAGCUACAGGCUUAACACAUGCAAGUCGAGGGGUAGCACGGAGGAAGCUUGCUUCCUUGGGUGACGACCGGCGCACGGGUGAGUAACGCGUAUCCGACCUACCCAUAACUCGGGCACAGCCGCUCGAAAGAGUGAUUGAUUCCCGAUAUGUCAUUAGAGUAGAUUUAAUGAUGAAAGAUUCAUCGGUUAUGGAUGGGGAUGCGUAAGAUUAGGUAGUAGGCGGGGUAACGGCCCACCUAGCCGACGAUCUUUAGGGGUUCUGAGAGGAAGGUCCCCCACACUGGUACUGAGACACGGACCAGACUCCUACGGGAGGCAGCAGUGAGGAAUAUUGGUCAAUGGGCGGAAGCCUGAACCAGCCAAGUAGCGUGAAGGAUUACAGCCCUACGGGUUUUAAACUUCUUUUAUAUAAGAGUAAUGUGCACUACGUGUAGUGUAUUGCAAGUAUUAUAUGAAUAAGCAUCGGCUAACUCCGUGCCAGCAGCCGCGGUAAUACGGAGGAUGCGAGCGUUAUCCGGAUUUAUUGGGUUUAAAGGGAGCGUAGGCGGGAUAUUAAGUCAGUCGUCAAAGCCUGUGGCUCAACCACAGCCCGCGAUUGAUACUGGUAACCUUGAGUGCGGAUGAGGUGGAUGGAAUUCGUGGUGUAGCGGUGAAAUGCUUAGAUAUCACGAAGAACUCCGAUUG